GGUGGCUCAGUGUUAGAGUGCUUGCUCUGCAUGCAUGAGGCCCUGGGUUCGAUUCCCCAGCACCA
rfam:Dipodomys ordii contig_21163, whole genome shotgun sequence.